rnacentral:rRNA from 1 species
UAGAGUUUGAUCAUGGCUCAGAUUGAACGCUGGCGGCAGGCCUAACACAUGCAAGUCGAGCGGCAGCACAGGGGAACUUGUUCCCUGGGUGGCGAGCGGCGGACGGGUGAGUAAUGGCUGGGAACCUGCCCUGAUGUGGGGGAUAACAGUUGGAAACGACUGCUAAUACCGCAUGAUGUCUACGGACCAAAGAGGAGGACCUUCGGGCUUCUCGCGUCAGGAUGGGCCCAGUUGGGAUUAGCUAGUUGGUGAGGUAAUGGCCUACCAAGGCGACGAUCCCUAGCUGGUUUGAGAGGAUGAUCAGCCACACUGGAACUGAGACACGGUCCAGACUCCUACGGGAGGCAGCAGUGGGGAAUAUUGCACAAUGGGCGCAAGCCUGAUGCAGCCAUGCCGCGUGUGUGAAGAAGGCCUUCGGGUUGUAAAGCACUUUCAGCAGUGAGGAAGGUUACGUAGUUAAUACCUGCGUGAUUUGACGUUAGCUGCAGAAGAAGCACCGGCUAACUCCGUGCCAGCAGCCGCGGUAAUACGGAGGGUGCGAGCGUUAAUCGGAAUUACUGGGCGUAAAGCGCAUGCAGGCGGUCUGUUAAGCAAGAUGUGAAAGCCCCGGGCUUAACCUGGGAACCGCAUUUUGAACUGGCAGGCUAGAGUCUUGU